CAGGAAUAGAGCAUGAUCCUGAGGUUGUCAUGUGCUCACAUGUUCCCAGUCAUAUGAGACCAAAGUGCCAUAUUGGAGAAAAACCAAGGAAGAUGACAGAGAUGGUGAUAGCCUCCUGCAGCUCCCAAUUACCAGCCUGGCAGCCCUGGGAGAGACACAUCUUGCUAAUGGAGGCAGCCGCUAGAACCAGCAGGUGCUCUGGCUCUG